rfam:Oryza nivara chromosome 3, whole genome shotgun sequence.
AAUAAGUGCAAUUUUACACUUCACGUCAAACAUUUGACCGUUCGUCUUAUUUAAAAAAAUUUUAUGAUUAGUAUUUUUAUUGUUAUUAGAUAAUAAAGCAUGAAUAAUACUUCAUGUGUGACUAUUUUUUUAAUUUUUUAUAAUUUUUUUAAUAAAACAAACGGUUAAACGUUGGACACGGAUUUUCAUGGUUGCACUUAUU